CCUCUCCGGUGGCUAGCAGUUAAAACAAAUAGUACUUAGCUGAAGUAAAAAGAGCUGAAGUACAGGCACAGUUACCAUAAGCUUCAAGAUGGAUGGAGUUAGGAAUCAGAGCCUCACUGAACCUUUCUCUUGGCUGAAGAUUUGCAUCUUUGAGCCACAUGCAUAGAUGGGAGAGAGUACAGAGGGGGACAGUAGUCAACCAAGAUUGCCUGCAGAACCCUGAAGUUCCUGGGAUUGUGGGAUGAAAACGAUGGCCAGUGUAAGUCUUCACAGCCAUAUCGAUGGGCAUCCUGCUGCCUGCUCUCAUACACCUGAGAGGGCUCGGUAUGGUGGCUGAGUCAACAGGAGAACAUUGUCCAGCCGUUUUCAGCCAACAAUCUACUCUGAGGAAGCACAAGGGCUUGUAAUAAUUCUGAACGAAUCAGAAAAGCAGGAUGAGUAAAAGUCUCAUUGGAAUGUUUACAUUGUAAUAUUGGGAAUGAAAACAAUAACCAAAAUGGCACUGGCCAUUCUGAGUCAUGAAAUGGCCGUAGUGGCCAUUGUAACUCUGAUCAAACAAGCAUGCAAUUAAAUUUUAUAUCAGAAUAUGAGUAUAGACCAUCUGGAAAUAUAAUCGAGAAGAGAAUGAUGAAAGGAAAUUAGUUCCAUUCGAUUUCAAAAUAUCUUCUGAGACCACACCAAUUAAGACAGCUGUUACAAACAAAACCAGGCAGGGCAUGUCAGUGGGACGACAGAGGCAAUCCACAAACGGACACACGGACCAACAGAGUCGGGUUAUAAUACAAGGAGCGUUCCAGGGCUGGCGGGAAACUCGGCGCAGAGCAUCUGUCUAGUAAACACACAGCAAUGAGUUCGGUUCUAAAUGUGUAGGAAAAAUGCUCCCUGAGUGUUAGCAUGAUAGAAUUCUAGAUGCAAAAGGACAGCAAGUCUGCAUUUUUUUCCAUCUGUAAUUCAGCACUAUGAAAGACUCAGCAGGAGGAUUGUUACAAAUUCAAGCCCAACCUAGGCUACACAGAGAGUUCUAGGCCAACCUGAGAUAAAUACAAAACCACAUCUCCAAAUAAGUAAGUAAAUAAAUAAAGCCAGGUAAAGACUCAAAUAUAAAAAUGAAAUUAUGAAGUUAUUGAAAUGAAAUAGUUAACUUAUGUAUAGUCUCCAUGUGUGAUCUUCUGAUGGAAAAAAAAAAUCUUUCUCUGAGUAAAACAUAAGAUUCAACCUCCAUAGAGGAAUUGUUAAUAAGCGUAAAUUGAAAAUAUAAAUUUCUGGGUUGAAGAUGUAGCUGUGUUGGUAGAAUUGGCAUGCUUGCCUAGCAUGCACAGAGGCCUGGGUUUUCCCCUCAGUACCACAUCAAGCAGAUGUGGUGGCACAGGCCUGUGACCCUACCUAGCACUUGGGAGGUAGAGGCGGAAUAUCAUA
ensembl:lncRNA LOC102551557 uncharacterized LOC102551557